rnacentral:rRNA from 1 species
UAGGGAAUCUUCGGCAAUGGGGGCAACCCUGACCGAGCAACGCCGCGUGAGUGAAGAAGGUUUUCGGAUCGUAAAGCUCUGUUGUAAGAGAAGAACGAGUGUGAGAGUGGAAAGUUCACACUGUGACGGCAACUUACCAGAAAGGGACGGCUAACUACGUGCCAGCAGCCGCGGUAAUACGUAGGUCCCGAGCGUUAUCCGGAUUUAUUGGGCGUAAAGCGAGCGCAGGCGGUUAGAUAAGUCUGAAGUUAAAGGCUGUGGCUUAACCAUAGUACGCUUUGGAAACUGUUUAACUUGAGUGCAGAAGGGGAGAGUGGAAUUCCAUGUGUAGCGGUGAAAUGCGUAGAUAUAUGGAGGAACACCGGUGGCGAAAGCGGCUCUCUGGUCUGUAACUGACGCUGAGGCUCGAAAGCGUGGGGAGCAAACAGGAUUAGAUACCCUGGUAGUCCACGCCGUNNCGAUGAGUGCUAGGUGUUGGGUCCUUUCCGGGACUCAGUGCCGCAGCUAACGCAUUAAGCACUCCGCCUGGGGAGUACNACCGCAAGGNU